CAAGGUUCAAUCUCAGUAACCACCAUUUUUCCUGGAUCCAGUUUAGCCUUUCCAGAGUCUUGGUGUCCUUCGUCUGUAACGUCUUCAUGUCUGCCCAUGGGGGAAGAAAGCUGGCACAACCUGAGCUUUUCAUCAGGAAAGCAACCCGGCUGCGUGGUUCUGCUGCCAGGUGGUUGAAUGCCCAUUACUCCCACUGCCUGCUUCAGGGAUGCCAGCUUCAGGCUCAACAGGCACACACAGAGAAUAGAUUAUGAAACCACAGGCGAUCAACCUUCUCUGGCCCUCACUCACCUGUUUACACUAACCUUGCACUCAGGGCAAAUUGCAUUUUCCCUUCAGAUAUUGGCCUUCAUUAAUGCUGUGGAACAUGGUAAUUAAUCUCUUCAACAAAGGUACCAUCUGCCUGACAAAAAAACUGAAUUAUGUUUCACUGUCCUGUGAUUAAGACGAAUAUUACCUUUGGGGUUGGAAGCAGCUUUAAAGGAGAACAUUCCAGCUCUCCAUAGCUGUUUGUCCACUUUAGAGAACUCUCUAUCACUCCUAUUAGGGCCUGUUAUUGAGCAUCUUAACUCCUCUGUUGGCCCUGCGACAAACUGGUACCCUCUCCUGGGUAUACCCUACCUUCGCCCAAUGGUAGUCAUGACAGGCUCCGACAUUCGCGUGACCCCAAAAGGGACAUGGUGGGUUUAAGACAACAAAUGGAUGGAAUUCCUCUGUUGAUCGGUUUCUGUGGACAUGGGGAAUGUGGGGACAGAUAAAGCUGCAAUUAUAAGACUUAAUCUUCACUGUUGGAGGAGGAUAGUGUUAUUAUAUCAUGAGGUUUAUUUAUCACAGGUGGAAUUCUGGAUUCCAAAUGUGUUUUGCAUGGCUGUCUGCAGGUCUGCUGAGGUGAAAAUGUUAACAGCAGCUCAUCCAGCAGGACAGUUUUGCCCCAACUGGGCCUUGUUUAGAAAACAGUAACAAUUCUUUUCAGAUUUUCUUUGGUUUGUUUUCCUGCUGCGUCAGCUUUUCUCAAGCUGCUAUUUUCAUUUCUCAUGUUUUUCCAGGGUAAAUCUGUUUGUCUUACUUCUAGGUAAAGAAAAACAGAUCAGCUUGUUGAGCUUGAAAAAUCCUGCCUUGUGUACCAAAUUUGAAUGGCAUUCUGUGAAAGCUGUUUCAAAGAUGAUGGUUUAUAGAACUCUGGUUACUUUAGGGAGGCAGUUGUUUUACCUGUUUUUAUUUUCAUCAUUACCCCGCCCCAACGCACCCUCCCCACCCAAUAAAUAAAUACAAAUUGAAUACUAUUUUUUUUAAAUCCCUAAAAAACAGGCAAAGGGGAAGACAUGUAGGAGCUGGUAUGGUCAUAACCUUCCCAUUUCCUAUUAUCCUUUCAUCUUCAGAACUCACUGUAUCCCUUUUGGGGCCACGCCUGCUGUGGCCCAAUGUGGCUACUGUUGAGCAAAGACAGCACAUUUUCCAUUAUAUUAUUCUUUUUUUUAAAAAACUUUAUUUAGCUCUCACUUUGAUCACCAUGUAAAUGACUGAUGGAUGGGUAGAUACUUUUUUUUAUCCCAAAGAAAAAUUGUUGUCUUUUGCUUACAUACCCACUCAAGCAUGAAUUAAAACCGUAAUAAGACCAAAAAGUUUAAGUGUGGUCUUUAAAACAGGAAUGCAGAAAGAAAGAUGAUUGUAGACUUUUCUUAAAAAAAAAAAAAAAAAAAAAA